UGGAAACUNUCUGACUUGAGUGCAGAAGGAGAGAGUGGAAUUCCAUGUGUAGCGGUGAAAUGCGUAGAUAUAUGGAGGAACACCAGUGGCGAAAGCGGCUCUNUGGUCUGUCACUGACGCUGAGGCUCGAAAGCGUGGGUAGCGAACAGGAUUAGAUACCCUGGUAGUNCACGCCGUAAACGAUGAGUGCUAGGUGUUAGGCCCUUUCCGGGGCUUAGUGCCGGAGCUAACGCAAUAAGCACUCCGCCUGGGGAGUACGACCGCAAGGUUGAAACUCAAAGGAAUUGACGGGGGCCCGCACAAGCGGUGGAGCAUGUGGUUUAAUUCGAAGCAACGCGAAGAACCUUACCAGGUCUUGACAUCCCGAUGCUAUUCUUAGAGAUAGGAAGUUACUUCGGUACAUCGGAGACAGGUGGUGCAUGGUUGUCGUCAGCUCGUGUCGUGAGAUGUUGGGUUAAGUCCCGCAACGAGCGCAACCCUUAUUGUUAGUUGCCAUCAUUAAGUUGGGCACUCUAGCGAGACUGCCGGUAAUAAACCGGAGGAAGGUGGGGAUGACGUCAAAUCAUCAUGCCCCUUAUGACCUGGGCUACACACGUGCUACAAUGGUCGGUACAACGAGUUGCGAGCCGGUGACGGCAAGCUAAUCUCUGAAAGCCGAUCUCAGUUCGGAUUGGAGGCUGCGACUCGCCUCCAUGAAGUCGGAAUCGCUAGUAAUCGCGGAUCAGCACGCCGCGGUGAAUACGUUCCCGGGCCUUGUACACACCGCCCGUCACACCACGAGAGUUUGUAACACCCGAAGUCGGUGAGGUANCCUUUU
rnacentral:rRNA from 1 species